ACUCAAAGGAAUUGACGGGGACCCACACAAGCGGUGGAGCAUCUGGUUUAAUUCGAUAGUAAGCGAGGAACCUUACCAAGGCUUGACAUCCCGGGAAGGCCAUCGAAAGGUGGCUGUGCCGUAAGGAACCCGGUGACAGGUGCUGCAUGGUUGUCGUCAGCUCGUGCCUUGAGGUGUUCGGUUAAGUCCGUGAACGAGCGCAACCCUUGUCCUAAGUUGCAUUUUUCUUAGGAGACUGCCGGCUCUAAGUCGGAGGAAGGUAAGGAUGACGUCAAAUCAGCAUGGCCCUUAUGCCUUGGGCUACACAGGUGCUACAAUGGCCGGUACAGCGGGCAGCGAGGAGGUAACUCUGAGCUAAUCCUAAAAGCCGGUCUAAGUUCGGAUUGAGGGCUGCAACUCGCCCUCAUGAAGCUGGAAUCGCUAGUAAACGCGUAUCAGCAAUGGCGCGUUGAAUAUGUUCCUGGGUCUUGUACACACCGCCCGU
rnacentral:rRNA from 1 species